AAUAAAGAGAUGGAGCCUGAGAGUGAGAGAGGUGGUUCAUCCUCUGUUCCUUCCCCCAGGCUGGCAUCUGCCUUGUCCCUGUGCUACAUUCCUUCAUUCUUCAAUCCAUCCUAUAAAGUCCAACAUUGCACUGGGGAUGUGAGACUCAGGUGGGCACACCCACAGUACCAGGGACUACCACCCCUUGUGAGCAGUGGCAAGAGCAUCCCUACCUUCCACGGUACCCAAACAUAAGGAAGAGGAUGCAGAAUAUGAUGCAUGUGACGCCGAUGUGGAUCCCGAUGAUGAUGCCGGUCGUGGAGGUUUUAUUGUUCUGCUCGUCCUUCAUGCAGUCACAGGGAGGAUUCAGCACUGCCAGGAAAAGGUGGAUAGGCUUAACUCUCCCAUCAGUUCCCCAACCUUUGGCACCAUCCAGAAGGUGCAAAGCAUGAAGUGCUGCAGUCUCUGCCCUGCCCAGGGCUCUGCUCCAGUACUGGCACCAGGAAGGAGAAAAGAUUUUGGGCACCAGGCACCAAGCUCAGCUCACCCCACAGCAAAAUCAUCCAGCAGAACAGCUCUACUUCCCCAGCAGCUUCCAGGCUUUGAGGGCAAAAAUCCCCACUCUGAGAAGUUGGACCCUUGCUUAAAGCAUCACUUUUCCAGCCACGGGUGAAAACACCACAGAAAGGGAAAUUAUCACAUUAUCCCAUGGACAAAGAAACACUGAUGUGGGCCAUCCUGAUUUGUGAAGAGUUGGCUUUAUUUUAUGGUUGCAGAGCCUUACAUUUAAUAAAAACCACAAGAAUAUCUCUCCUUCAAAAUAUGGAUU